UACGUAGGGUGCGAGCGUUGUCCGGAAUUAUUGGGCGUAAAGGGCUCGUAGGCGGUCUGUUGCGUCAGGAGUGAAAACUCGGGGCUUAACCCCGAGCCUGCUUCUGAUACGGGGCAGACUAGAGGUAUGCAGGGGAGAACGGAAUUCCUGGUGUAGCGGUGAAAUGCGCAGAUAUCAGGAGGAACACCGAUGGCGAAGGCAGGUCUCUGGGCCGAUACUGACGCUGAGGAGCGAAAGCGUGGGGAGCGAACAGG
rnacentral:rRNA from 1 species